UACGUAUGGUGCAAGCGUUAUCCGGAUUUACUGGGUGUAAAGGGAGCGCAGGCGGCACGGCAAGCCUGAUGUGAAAGCCCGCGGCCCAACCGCGGGACUGCAUUGGGAACUACCGGGCUGGAGUGCCGGAGAGGUAGGCGGAAUUCCUAGUGUAGCGGUGAAAUGCGUAGAUUUUAGGAGGAACACCAGUGGCGAAGGCGGCCUACUGGACGGUGACUGACGCUGAGGCUCGAAAGCGUGGGGAGCAAACAGG
rnacentral:rRNA from 1 species